UGGUGUUACUGCGAAGGGGGGACGGAGAAGGCUAUGUUGGCCGGGCGACGGUUGUCCCGGUUUAAGCGUGUAGGCUGGUUUUCCAGGCAAAUCCGGAAAAUCAAGGCUGAGGCGUGAUGACGAGGCACUACGGUGCUGAAGCAACAAAUGCCCUGCUUCCAGGAAAAGCCUCUAAGCAUCAGGUAACAUCAAAUCGUACCCCAAACCGACACAGGUGGUCAGGUAGAGAAUACCAAGGCGCUUGAGAGAACUCGGGUGAAGGAACUAGGCAAAAUGGUGCCGUAACUUCGGGAGAAGGCACGCUGAUAUGUAGGUGAAGUCCCUCGCGGAUGGAGCUGAAAUCAGUCGAAGAUACCAGCUGGCUGCAACUGUUUAUUAAAAACACAGCACUGUGCAAACACGAAAGUGGACGUAUACGGUGUGACGCCUGCCCGGUGCCGGAAGGUUAAUUGAUGGGGUCAGCGCAAGCGAAGCUCUUGAUCGAAGCCCCGGUAAACGGCGGCCGUAACUAUAACGGUCCUAAGGUAGCGAAAUUCCUUGUCGGGUAAGUUCCGACCUGCACGAAUGGCGUAAUGAUGGCCAGGCUGUCUCCACCCGAGACUCAGUGAAAUUGAACUCGCUGUGAAGAUGCAGUGUACCCGCGGCAAGACGGAAAGACCCCGUGAACCUUUACUAUAGCUUGACACUGAACAUUGAGCCUUGAUGUGUAGGAUAGGUGGGAGGCUUUGAAGUGUGGACGCCAGUCUGCAUGGAGCCGACCUUGAAAUACCACCCUUUAAUGUUUGAUGUUCUAACGUGGACCCGUAAUCCGGGUUGCGGACAGUGUCUGGUGGGUAGUUUGACUGGGGCGGUCUCCUCCUAAAGAGUAACGGAGGAGCACGAAGGUUGGCUAAUCCUGGUCGGACAUCAGGAGGUUAGUGCAAUGGCAUAAGCCAGCUUGACUGCGAGCGUGACGGCGCGAGCAGGUGCGAAAGCAGGUCAUAGUGAUCCGGUGGUUCUGAAUGGAAGGGCCAUCGCUCAACGGAUAAAAGGUACUCCGGGGAUAACAGGCUGAUACCGCCCAAGAGUUCAUAUCGACGGCGGUGUUUGGCACCUCGAUGUCGGCUCAUCACAUCCUGGGGCUGAAGUAGGUCCCAAGGGUAUGGCUGUUCGCCAUUUAAAGUGGUACGCGAGCUGGGUUUAGAACGUCGUGAGACAGUUCGGUCCCUAUCUGCCGUGGGCGCUGGAGAACU
rnacentral:rRNA from 1 species